UACGAAGGGGGCUAGCGUUGCUCGGAAUUACUGGGCGUAAAGCGCACGUAGGCGGCUUUCUAAGUCGGUGGUGAAAUCCUGGAGCUCAACUCCAGAACUGCCUUCGAUACUGGGAAGCUCGAGUCCGGGAGAGGUGAGUGGAACUGCGAGUGUAGAGGUGAAAUUCGUAGAUAUUCGCAAGAACACCAGUGGCGAAGGCGGCUCACUGGCCCGGUACUGACGCUGAGGUGCGAAAGCGUGGGGAGCAAACAGG
rnacentral:rRNA from 1 species